rnacentral:rRNA from 1 species
AGGGGCCUACGGGGCGCAGCAGUGAGGAAUAUUGGUCAAUGGGCGGAAGCCUGAACCAGCCAAGUCGCGUGAGGGAAUAAGGCCCUACGGGUCGUAAACCUCUUUUGCCGGGGAGCAAGGGCCGGGACGCGUCCCGGCCCGGAGAGUACCCGGAGAAAAAGCAUCGGCUAACUCCGUGCCAGCAGCCGCGGUAAUACGGAGGAUGCGAGCGUUAUCCGGAUUUAUUGGGUUUAAAGGGUGCGCAGGCGGGCUUUUAAGUCAGCGGUAAAAAUUCGGGG